UACGUAGGGUGCAGGCGUUAAUCGGAAUUACUGGGCGUAAAGCGUGCGCAGGCGGUUUGCUAAGACAGGUGUGAAAUCCCCGGGCUUAACCUGGGAACUGCGCUUGUAACUGGCAAGCUAGAGUGUGGCAGAGGGGGGUGGAAUUCCACGUGUAGCAGUGAAAUGCGUAGAGAUGUGGAGGAACACCGAUGGCGAAGGCAGCCCCCUGGGUUAACACUGACGCUCAUGCACGAAAGCGUGGGGAGCAAACAGG
rnacentral:rRNA from 1 species